UCCCUGAGUGACAUGAACCCGAA
rnacentral:miRNA from 1 species